UACGGAGGGUGCAAGCGUUAUCCGGAAUCAUUGGGUUUAAAGGGUCCGCAGGCGGAUUUAUAAGUCAGUGGUGAAAGCCUCUUGCUCAACAAGGGAACUGCCAUUGAUACUGUAAGUCUUGAAUCUGGUCGAAGUGGGCGGAAUAUGACAUGUAGCGGUGAAAUGCUUAGAUAUGUCAUAGAACACCGAUAGCGAAGGCAGCUCACUAGUCCAGUAUUGACGCUCAUGGACGAAAGCGUGGGGAGCAAACAGG
rnacentral:rRNA from 1 species